CCCCUCCCCUCCCCUCCCCCACGAGACAUUUUGGGCACGUCCCGGCAGCAGGUACCGGAAGAGCCAGUGUACGAGCGGCCAGAGCCUAGUCAGGCUCCUUCGGAUGGCAAGCAUGGCCCGGCUUCGAGCGCCGCGAAGGGCAGCGGCCGGUAUUCUUCCUUAAAUUCCUUCUGUGGCUUCUCUACUGAUUAAAACAAAAACAGCAACCUAGAAGCUCGGAGAGACUAAGAGACAAAGGUAACAAAGUAUUUUCCCCUGGGCAAUUCUUCAGAUAUUGCGUGUGUGCAUGUGUGUGUCCGCCUUGAUUGAGUCCUCAGUUGCAUCAGUGAACUCUCAGAUUCUCACUGACUUUCUCUUUGCAAGAAGAACACGUUAGUGGAUGUAAUCAUGUGCAUCUGUGUCAUCUCUGCGAUGUCCUCUGUCCCGGCCAGCUUUGUCAUGUUCCUGAUCCAGGGGUGUGUCAGCAAAUAGAAGCACCUGUAGUUCAUCAGUGGAGUGAAGCCUAUCAUUCUACUGGCUCUCCAGUUCUGUCUAGGACAUGGUAAGAAUGCUGGUCUGCCGCUGCUUUAUAAACCUCCAAUAGGGCUCUGGAUUGGACGGAUGAAAGGGCCCCUGGCCAUCACCAGGAAAUGUUCUAGCUAGUCCAAAGAUGAAUGAAAGAGGAAAAGGCAGACCCAGUUGUACACUUUCAUGUGACCAAACACGGCCUUAAGCACACGGCUGAUCUCACGCCAGAGGAAAUCCGUUCCCACACACUGCAAUUCAUACCACCACCACCUCAUUCCCUAAGUGACAACUUUUCAAAAAACUGAGGUGGAAGACUCUUAGUCAAAACUUAAAGCCAAUGCUUCUAACAUGUCUGAUAGAUUUUAGCCUUCAGAGUCAGGGUGUUCUUUGCCUUACUAGGAACUCAUCUGUCCUUCAGAUUCCUGAGGACCAGGUAAGUGAGAGGUGACCGUGCUUCCUGUUUUUCAGUUUUCCCAUAGAUAGCUAAUUCCUAAUUUAUUGUUUUUGCAGUAUGUUAGAAACAUAAACUAACAUAGCUGUAAGUACAAGCUACCAGGAGAGCCUAGAAGUGCCAAAUCUAGUUUAAGAAGGCUGAGGCACUCAACUAAAAUAAAAACUAAAGUUGUUAGUAAGAAAAUCCUAGUAUGUCUGGGAUGGUACUGAAGAAAUCCUUGUAAGGUUACUAGCAGGCUAUUUACUUGAGGUGACAAUAUUUACAGUAAAGACAGUACAUUAUUACUGUCUCAUUACCUUAUGGCAACACAACAAUAGCUCCAGAGAUGAGGAUAAAAAUAUAAAACACAGUAGAAAGAAUCAGAUUGUAUAUAUAGGCUUUUAUUAGGGCAGACAUUUCCAUAAUUAUAAAUCUCAUUAAAACAAAUAGAUGACCUAACACAACACUGAAAAUCAACUAUACUUCAAUUUAAAAAAAACCAAUUCGAUGACCAAGUAUCUUUAUUAAACAGUGAUCCAAAAUGAAGUAAAAAUUAGUAAAAUUAACUGUAAAUGAAGACACUGCAAGCACAUAAACCAAUGAGUUAUCAAUGUGCUUUAAUACCAGGACCUAAUAACAUUAUUUUGCAAGUAAUUGAUUAAUUAUUAUUGUAAAAACCAUUAUUAACAUAAAUGACACAGAUGAUACUGUACUUUUCUGUAGUAAAGAAACGUUUAAUGGAUUUUUUUAUGGAUCCCAAUUGGUAUUAUAUAGAAAACCUUACUGAACAAAAACUUUUAUAAUCUCAGAAAAAGACAUGAUGAAAUGGUUGAUAGUUUAUGCAUAUAAUUUAACUAUACUAUCACAGGUAUGGAAAUGAAAGAAUCAUUUGAAUGUAAGAAAAUGCUAUAAAAGCAGAGGGUUGUCAAAAUAGAGAAAAAGAGAUAUAUGGAAACAAAUGAAAAGUCAAGAUCCUAUAGUAAUAGCAACUAUUUUUAAUGUAUGACAGAUACUGAAAUGACUAGGCAAAAAGGAACAGACUGUUUACUGACGUGGUGGUGACAGUGGACAGAGGUAGCUUUUAAAUAUGCAAGGGACAUAGCAAAUUAACUUACCACCUCCAUCAAAUAAAAGUGAGAAUCUCUUGGGAGAAUUUAAGCACCAUUAGUAGACACAGCUUAUGGCACUUAAUGAAAUGCUUCAUUUAUCAGUGGAAGACUAUUUCAAUGGUGAAAAUGACAUAGGAAUCAGAAGCAUAUUCUGCUGAGACCCAAGGAAGUUAACACUCUCCCGAACUGGAAAAAAAUUCGUAAAAAGGUAUAUAAAGUUAUUGACUAAAUCAGAUUUGUUCUAAGAAUAACUUGUGCUUAGUGAAAUAGCUUACCAGCUGCCACAACUCUGGGAUCCUCAUGAGACUGGUGUCUCCCAGCUGCUCGGCUAUCCGCACUCUCGUUCCACCAAAGAACAUGAACUGCAGAAAUAAAUAAACCAGAAAUAGAUUCUAAAGACUGUGGCAUUGCUCAAAUAAGAAAGACAGAAACAUUAAUCAGAAACUGUAACUCCUAUUCUUUAAAUAAAAAUAGUGAUUAUCAACAGGGUAACACUAAGUAUAUUAGUGAUAAGAUUUCAGAGGGGUGAGUGAUUUGGGAGAGAAAUUUAUAAACAUUGUUUCCAAAGUUUCCUUACUAUAAAUAAUGCUGACAUAAAUUUCAUUAGAGCAGCAGUACAUGUACAUAAUACGAGCAAUGUUGAUGACAACUUCUACUAACAUUUAUUGGGUGCCUGCUAUGUGCUGAGACUGGUUUUACAUUUUGUGUGUAUUAACUCAUUUAGUUUUCAUAAUAACCUUCAGUGGUAGGUUAUUAUUAUCAUCAUUUUAUGGAUGAGGAAACUAAGGCACAGUAAGGUUAAGUAAUUCACCCAAGGUGACAGAGUUUUAAGUGGUGGAGCUGGGAUUCAAACCCAGGCAGUCUGGAUCUGAUUAUUUUCUUAACAUAAAUUCCUAAAAUUUAAAUUGAGAGAACCAAAGAGUAUCUUACAUAUAUACACUUACAAAUGUACAGUGUAUAUAUUAUACACUAUCCUCCAGAAGUGAAGUACUGAUUUAUACUUAGCAUAUUAUCAUAUUCCUAGUACACUGAGAAUGAAUUUAAGAUUAAAAAGUGUGUGCACACACAUUUCAGUAGUUUUUUAAAUAAAAAUUCUACACGUCUAUUAUAGUAAAUUAGAGAUUUAAAAAACCUGUAAUGUCAUCAUUCAAAUGUGAUUAUAUAUUUUAUAUCCUUUCAAAUUUCCUUCUUGUAUAACUAAAAACAUUCAUAUUUCCUAGAAUGUUGUCAAAAACAGUUGAAAAAAUUAAGCUUUUUAUUUUACUGCCAAAUUAUUAAGGGGGGCAAGAUUAAGCCAAUACAACCCUACAUAGUACAACAGUACUUGUUUGUCCCCAACCCCUCUAAUACUAUAUCUAUAUAAUAUGUUUUUAUUAGGUAAAAAAUGGCAUCCAAUUAUUGUUUUAAUCUGCAACUUCUUUAAUAUAUAUUAGUCAUCUGUGUCAUCUUUGCAUAAGCUUUUAUUUUUCUUUUUGCUUUUGGAUUUCAUUUAUGUUUUUUUUGGUAUGCACAGAAAUUUGAGCCUUUGUACAAUAAAAUCAUCAGUUCUUUUCUCUCCUUCAUAGUUUCUUCAUUUGCUUUUGGUUUAGAAAUGUUGUUCUCACAUAUUAUUAAAUAAAUUUAUCUAUAUUUUGUUUCAGUAAUUCUAUGAAUUCAGUUUUUUAAUUGAUAUUUAUAAUCCAUCUUGAUUUUAUUUUAGUGUAUGGUGUGAGAAAGGCAUAUAAUAAUUGUCAUAAUUUUUCUCUUCUUCAUGUAUUUUCCAACUUAAACAAACAUCUAUUUUUGCACAGUCCAACUUUUUUUUUUACAAUAUAUUAUUAAAAGUUGAAUUUCUGGGCAACAAUUAGCUCAACUCUGGAUAUGUUAGGUUUGAGAUGUCCAUUAGACAUGAAGUGAAGAAUAUGAGGCGGCAACUGGAUAUUAUGAGUUUUCAAAUAUUAAAAGUCUUAGCUAUCCUUUCAGAUAAACUUUAAUAUCCCAAAUAGGUGUUUUAUUAAAUAAAUCAAUAUGGUAUACAUACUAUGUGUAUAUAAGUAGUGAGAAAUGGGUAAUUUUUUUCUUUGGGCUUGUCCAUGUCCAUUUAAUAUUUACAAUAACUAUAUAUUACUUUUCACCCCCAAACAACCCAAGUAAUAUU